UACUACAUUACGAUCAAAUAGUCACAGCAUCCUUACUUGGCCACUGUUAAAACUGUAACUUAAAGCAGGUACAGCCUCAGUGUUCACAGUAAAACUGUAACUUACAAGCAGGUGGUUUCUGUGUUCACAGUAAAACUAACUUAAAGCAGGUGGUUUCUGUGUUCACAGUAAAACUGUAACUUAAAGCAGGUGGUUUCUGUGUUCACAGUAAAACUGUAACUUAAAGCAGGUGGUUUCUGUGUUCACAGUAAAACUGUAACUUAAAGCAGGUGGUUUCUGUGUUCACAGUAAAACUGUAACUUAAAGCAGGUGGUUUCUGUGUUCACAGUAAAACUGUAACUUAAAGCAGGUGGUUUCUGUGUUCACAGUAAAACUGUAACUUAAAGCAGGUGGUUUCUGUGUUCACAGUAAAACUGUAACUUAAAGCAGGUGGUUUCUGUGUUCACAGUAAAACUGUAA